ensembl:lncRNA
UAUAAUUUAUUUUAAUAAAGAUGAAAUUAAUAUAUUAUGUGAUUUACAUAUUUUCGUUAAUUAUCCAUUUAAUGGUGUUAUGCCAUAAAAAAAAAACGAAAAGUGUAUUAAACCGUGAUUUAUAUAAUGAAGAUGUUGAUGUAUCAGAAAGCAAAUAUUUAAUAAAAUAUUUAGGUAUGUCGUAUGAUAUCAUUAAAGGAAACCCACUCGGAGAUCCGAAGUUCAUGGUAGAUCUGGGAUAUAAAAAGUAUAUUUUAUUAAAUGAAUUAAAGUUAAUUAGUGAUAAGAAGAAAGAUAAUAAUGAAAAAGUCAAUAACAUUGAUAAUAUAAGUAGUAGUAAUAAUACUAAUAAAAGUAAUAUAUCUUAUGUUACUGUCCAAGAAGGAAAAUUACGAUGUUCGACUAAAGCGGGAGAAAUAAUAGUUAACGAUAUGAGUGAUAUUGAUAAACAAUACAAAAGUUAUAAAUUUUCAUCUAAAUACAAUAUACACCCUUUUAAUGCUUCAAAUUAUUAUAAAAUGUUAGCUGACAGAAUUAACAGAGGUGAUUCGACAAUUAUAUAUGAAAAACAGUGUGUGAAAUAUUUCGCUUCUCUUGAAGAAUUCGGUGCUAAUAAUUUGAACUUAUUUUUUUUAAAUAUGCUUAACGAAUUGGGGAAAAAUUAUCAAAAUAUACAUAAUGAUACAUAUGUAUGUGAUUUAGAGUUAUUUAAAAAAAAUAAACAUGAUGAGAAUUGCUUAAACACUAUAACUCCAUGGAUUACUUUUUUUAGUUUUUAUGGAACACAUUUAGUAUCAGGUGCAUAUUUUGGUGGUAAGAUUAUUCAAAAUAUGUUCGUUGAAAGUGAUGAUAUAAAAGAUGGUACAUAUAAAAAGAAAUUCAACGAAAAAAGAUUAAAUCCCUUUUUUAAUAAUAACAACGUUUAUAAUACGUUGUACUUUGGUUCAAUGAUAUCAAAGAAAAAAAUAAGAUAUAUAGUAGAAAGGAAUUAUAUAUUAGAUGGUGGUGAUAAUACUAUAAAAUCUACAAACACUAAUGAUUUAAACAGUUCGUUUUCCAAAUGGAAAGAAUCAAUAAAAGGUGAAUUAGCUAAACCUGUACAUUUAACUUUAAUACCUUUUGCUAAUUUUAUUGAAUCAGAAGAAGGUAAAAUUAGUUACUACAAAGCUUUAGAAUUUUAUUCUAAUUUAAAUUAUUCUAAUUAUAAUUUAUAUCCCUACAAAACAAAUCACAAUGAAAAAGAUUUCUAUAAAAAGCAAAUAAAAAAAUGGAGCCAAGUGAUAAAUAAAAAUGUUAAUUUCAAUAUAUCACUUACAUGUUCAGUAGGGGAGAGCAUUAUUAGCGGUUUUAUUAUUACAAAUAAAAAAAAAUUAAAUAAUGAUAAUAACUUAAUGCAUUUAUGUACUUAUAAUGAUUGUGCUAGUAGAAUAAAUUUAAUGGCAGAUAAAAAUUUUGAAUUCGGGUGGAUAUUAUGUAGUCAAGAUAAUGUAAACGACUAUUUUCAAAUUAAUAAAACAGUAACUGGAAAUGAAAAUAUUACAUGCCCUGCAGGAAUGGAAGUAGGGUAUGGUUUUUAUAUCACAAUGCAAGAAGGUAUUAAUACAAAUAUGUUAGCUAAAACAUGUGAAAGCAACAAACAAAAUUGCCAUCUUAAAGUUUCAAAUAAGAAUUUAAAAAGUUUGGUUUGGAUUAAUUGUAUCUCAAAUAAAAAAAAAGUAUUAUUGUCAUCUUUAGAUUCUAAAAUACAUAGUGAGAACCUUCAUCUAAAAAAAAAUACACAAGUUAGCUUAAGUUGUAAAAAAGGAAGUUUUAUUAUAGCUGGUUUUGCAGUUGAUUAUAUACCAUCUACCCAAAAUGAUUAUAUCGUUUGUCCUGUAGGAAGUUCUACUUGUAGUUUUGACAUUCAUGUUUUUGAAAGCGGUACUCCAGAGUUCCACAAUCCUAUCAUUUUCAUAAUAUGUUCAUCUUUAUAAAAAAAAAANNNNNNNNNNNNNNNNNNNNNNNNNNNNNNNNNNNNNNNNNNNNNNNNNNNNNNNNNNNNNNNNNNNNNNNNNNNNNNNNNNNNNNNNNNNNNNNNNNNNUAUAUAUAUAUAUAUAUAUAUUUAGCAGUUGUACAUUUUUCGACAAUUUAUGAUUCUAUCAUUCAAUUAUUUUUGCAUUGGUAUAUUUUAGCCAGUUUUGUUUUACCUCACGUGUUUUAUUUAAUUUGUUUUACCUCACGUGUUUUAUUUAAUUUGUUUUACCUCACAUGUUUUAUUUAAUUUGUUUUACCUCACAUGUUUUAUUUAAUUUGUUUUACCUAAUGGUGUUUUAUUUAAUUUGUUCCUUGAUGUUGUUUAAUUCAUUUGUUAGUGACAUUCUUUGUUGACAUUUUUUUUUUUUUUUGUAACGUUUUUUUAUUUUCCCACUUACCCCUCCUCUUAUAGAGGUGCUAGCUAUAAUAUCACGACGAUAUAAAACUAAGUACUAUUUUAGAACAUUUUUUUUAAUUUUCGCAUCUUUUGUUUUUAUAUACAAUUUAUAUGUUCAAAUAAAAAAAAAUAACAAGUGCUAAAAUGUUAUAUA